AAACCUUCGCCCCACCAUUAUAUAACAAGCGUUAGUCACUUGGUCCUCUCCUUUUCUCAUAAUCAAAAACAAAAAAUAGAAAAAUUGGGUGAGAGUUGGGAUGUCGAACCUUCCAAAUUCCAGAAACGCAAUCGAUCAACAUGAAGGUGAGUUCGUGGCUUGUUAAUUCGCUCUAUACAAUUUGGUUGUUACGAUGUUCUGAUUUGAAUUUGUUUGUCAACAACCACAGAUGUCAGGGUUGGGAUGUCGAACCUUGCAAUUUCUGGAGACGCAAUCGAUCAACAACAGCAAGGUGAUGAAUUCACAAUCUAUCAUUUGUUUGUUACAGGCUUUUUAAUCAGUAAUUCGAUUUGAAUUUCUUUAUCAACAACUUUAGAUCUCAGACCUCGCCAUCAAAUCCCAAUUUUUUAUUUAUUAAUUUUUUUCGGUUCUAACAUCGCAAACCCCUAAUCAAACCCCUAAUUUUGGUGAAUGAAUCACAUGUUGGCAAAAGCUGCACUACGGGCGUCGUACCGUACUCCUGACGGAGUCGUUAACAGAAGGGUAUUUUUGCGAUUUCCAGUCGUCACGGUAACUAUCUAAUUUUACUGCGAGAGUGGAGGACGGGAGAGAAUUUGGGCGAAAUCGCCAGAUUUCGAAGGAUUCGAAGAUAGUGUGGGAUCUGGAAUUCGAAACGCAGAGAGAUUAGAUACGAAGCUCAGUGCUGAGAGAAGAAUCGAAUCAAUUCCGAAGGAUUCGAAGAUAUAGUCUGGAUCUGGAAUAAAAAACCCAGAGAGAUUAGAAACGAAGCUCAGUCCACUUUUCACCAAUGUGCAGGAAGACCUUGAGAUAGACAAAAGCCUCGAAGGUUCUCCUAACGCAGUCUCGCAAACAUUUGAGAUCACAUUGUAAGCAAAUACCUUGAUCUUUUCCAUCUGCUUAAUCUUUACAUGCUAUUCAAGGUUUCCUAAAGGGAAAAUCUACUUGCCUCAGUUUGGAUUAUACUGCUUGGAGUCAUGCUCUCUAGCUGACCACAUAUAUAAUUGAUAUGUCAAGCAGCAGAUCAACAAUAUAUAUCAGAUUAUCUAAUAUGAUCACUAAAUCUGGUUGCUUUGGUCGUAGCACUGCAUGUCUGUAUGUGCAUUUGACAAUUUCACUCUGAAAAUAAAUCAUUUACAUUGAUAUAGUAAAAUCAUUAGUAGCUGCCACAGUUUUAGGCCAUGCUACCAUUCACAACAGUAGCACCACGCUUCACAUGCUACUGUACUGAUGCAGCCCUUGCCAUGCUCACCAUACUGAACUUUGCUUGCUUGCUGUAGAUUUACACUGAUCACCAUAUCAUGAUGCUUUAUCAGAUGACUACAAGUCUGAUAUAUGAAAUUUUUUAUUUCAUAAAUCAAUAGCUUCUAUUUGAGGGCAUUGUGCUUCGUGAAAGGAAUGGUCCAAAGUGUUUUUCCUUUAGAAGUUCAGUGUUACCAAUGCUCCUCUAAUAUUUACUAGUGAAUUCAAGAUGGCAACAAAUCUGAUAUAGGGAUGCUUGAUAAAGAAAAUUUGAUUGUUGUGUUUAGAGGCACAUGGUGCCCGGUGUUAGGAAUGAACCUUAGUGGCUUUUGGUUGACUUCAAUACCGGAAAAGUUUCAUUGUUCAUCUGUGUUGUACUUACAACAAUGUUCUAGUAGUUUUUACAUACACUUGCAUCUGCAUUCUUUUAGGGUUGUGUAACAAAUUCUAGUAUAGGUUUUGAUAUACCUAGUUAGAUGCGCCCUCUUCCAGAUAAGUACGUAUAUUGUAAUGAUCUUCUACUUUCCUAAUACUAAAGCGGCCAAUCCUUUGUCUGUUCAGGUCACAAAUUACCAUGUAGUAGCUAGAUUGAUCAAACCAGAUUACAGCGUUGUAACGUUCUUGUCCUUUAAUUCGAGCUAUGAGCUUUUGUCAAAUUAUUAUAACCCUUAUCGUGUGGAGGACAUGGAUAUGGAUCACAAUGUGUUAUAUGCAAAGGAAUGUUCAUCAGGAUUGGGUUACCUUGCCCAUAGAGUAUUUAUGACUGAUAAAUACAUACCUGAAUCUUGUUGCAUUAUUGGGAAUUAUUACAGCUUAAAAGGGCUGCAUGAGAAAGCAGUUCUGUACUUUAGGAGCACUCAAACUAGAUAGAAAUUAUUUAUCUGCUUGGACCCUUAUGUGUCAUGAAUUUAUUGAGAUGAAAAGCACACCAGCUGCUGUUGACGCAUAUCCGCAGUAGAUAUAAAUUUUAAGUGAUUAUCAUGCUUGGUAUGGAUUAAGACAGGCUUAUGAGAUGAUGGGUAUCAGGGGUAUGCCCUUUUAUGCUCUUCAUUACUUCCGGAAAUCAGUAUUUUUAUUGCCAUGGCUCAUUGUUAUCAAACUGGUCAGCUGAAUAUGAUUGAUGAAGCACAGAAGUGUUACAAAAGGGCAGCAGAUUGUAAUGACAGGGAAUCCCUGAACGCGCUAGCUAAGCUAUAUGCUGAUGAAGGACGUAUGGAAGAGGCAGUUUUUUUACUACAAGGAUCUGGAGAGGAUGGAAGAUGAAGAGAGGGAAGGACCCAAUAUGGUUGAAACUAUCUUCUUUCUUGCUAAAUACUUCAGAGAGCAGAAAAAGUUUGAAGAAGCUGAGGUCAACUGUACCCAUCUUAUGAAUUAUACCGGUCCAGUGAUUGUUAUAUCUUUCUCUUAUAUGCUUAACCAAAUAUAUUUAACCCCAAUAUAACUUUCAAAAUUAUGAGUCAGUCGUAAGUAAUUGUUAUUUCUUUGUCCAUCACUGCAGGAAAAAGAAAGAGCGAGAAGUUUACUCCGCGGAAUCAGAAUGGAACAAACUGGUUCUCCUUCCAUGUAUAUUGAGCGCUUUUUUCCUUUAUUUCUUGUCACUUGUCAGGAUAUAUUACAUGGAUCAACUUCAUAAGAGAUGGGAGUUGCAAUUGAGCAUAGCUUGGGUUUUGUCGUUGCUGCAGAACAUUUUAGUCUCUUUAGUAACUGCUAAGUUUAAGGUUUAACGGUGUGAUUGCUGUAGAAAGUUCAAUCCAACUCUAGCACUCCAGUCUUCUCUAGUCUUCUACUGUAAGUUAAAACUUUAAUUUGAAAGGUAUUCCCUACUCCCAGUUGUGUUAUUCUUGCCUUGUGUUGAUUUUUCAAGCCGACUGAAUUGUAAUCAGAAAGUAUUAUUACGAUCAUUAUUUGCUCAUCUUCUGUGUGGUACAUAUAUAGUCAUGAACUUCAUAUGUUGCUAAGUAACAAUUGCAUACUGGUGACACUAAAAUAAAUUUACGAAGGACAAGUAAUGCGUAGGAGUACCGAGUUUUAUCUUGAUUUAUUAAAAAGGUCAGAAGCAUAGGUAAAGAACAUCUGAAGUCUAUCAGCAACCAAAAACAACAUAAAGUAAUGGUUAAGGAAAUAUCCACCAUUAAAAUCCAAAUUCAGGUUACAUAAUCAUCCUCUGAAUUUAUUUCCAUUGUUCACCCCAGACAACCGGGUUAAUUUUAACACAACCACUACAGUUCCAGUUGCCAAAAGCAAUUUUGAAUCACCAUCUCUGAUGAUUCCCCUUUUCAUUAUGAUUUCAAUCAUUUAGCUGGGUCAGUGAAGCAGCUGUUGAUUCCUGGCCUGAUUUCCGGGGACUUGCCGCAGACAAAUUUCCUCGGCAUAUUUUCCGGAUACUUUUCUCCCUCAUCGAAAUUAUCCAAUACUCCGGUGGCCCUGUUCUCCUUGGCACUCUGAUCCAGUAAUAUAGAAAAAAAAAACAAAAAAAAACACACUAUUAUCUAUACAUCUAUGGAAGGAUCAUUCAACUGUGUAUCAAGUUCAUAAUUUGAUACUCAAAAGCCCCUCUUUUUAGUUUCACAACCUUCCAAUUCCCAAUUUGAUUUCAUCAAAUAAAGAUUUAACCCCAACAAAUUGCUGGUUUGUAUAUACAUAUAUAUCACUAUGUAAACAUGUUUGAUCCAUAAGUUACACUUGCGCAUACAAAUAUGUAGAUAGGAAAGCCAAUGUAUAUUUAUAUGCCAUUCCAUAACUACAUCCAUAAACACCAGCAUAUAUAUCCAAGUUCCAAGACAAAAAGAAAAAGCUAAAAUUUCAGGUCAAUAUUCUCUCCACUCAUUUAAAUUAAUGUAUCAUGCACUUGUGUGGUUCCUUCCAAAUACCACCUUCGUUUCAAGCAUCAAUAAUCAUAAAAGACGCAAAAUCUUAAGAGAGCAAUGCAAAGGUAAUAUGUCUAAAUCCAGAAAACCUUAAACGCAAAAGACCUUAUACCUUAAAGAUAUACAUAGACUGAAGGGGAAUGGGCCUUUUUUAUGCCAAGGAGGAUAACAAACGCGAGACUUCCUUAGAAUAGGAGAACUUUUUUAUUUUCGGAUCAAGCUCAUGUAGUGCUGCAUCAACAUACCCCACAAUGCUCUACAAAUUUAGUCUCAAUCAUAAAUACAAUAAACACUUUAGCAAUGGGAAUAAGAUUCGAGGUUAACUAACCAUGUCCAACUUUAUUAAUGGAAAGUUCAUUUGGCUGCUUUAGGCUACCAUCAUCCCCAAAAGCUUUCUCUGCCAAAAUUAAAAGUGCCAUAUACACAAAAAACAACAUAAUUAUCAAAUGGAUAUAGCUAAACUUGCCCCAAGACUCAGAGUUGCAGAACAUUUAAGACUAAAGUGAACAUAUGUACUCACCUUCGAAGAAAAACGAAAUCUUGUCGACACUUCGUAGAAAUAAUUUUCAGUCGACUGUUGCUGCAAGAAGCAACAGGAAACAAUUGGGUAAAUUUGAUUGAAAAUUGGCUCGCCUUUACUUUCAGGCAAGAAAAGGACUGAAAAUUUACUUAAGAUAAAUGUGAUUACGGUCAAUACAUGGUUCUUGGUAGAGAAAAUAGAGCGGUGGCAGAGCAGUCAAAGUCGUGGAGCAAUUGGUCCAUCCUGCAAUUGUAUCUGUAGUGGAUCAAAGAUUUCAAGCGACAGAUACCAAAAUUAUCCUGGAAAUUUAUCGUCCAAACUCAAAAGGGGUACCUUUGAUGCAGGCUCUACGCUGGCUAGGUCCUAAUAGAACUCUAGAACCUCUGGUAGUUGGUCAGCAAGAACCUACAGUACAUCAAGUAAAAUUCAGUAUAACACAGCUGUGAUGCAUACUAUGCUAAUUUAGAAGUAUAAUCAAACAAAUAUGAUUUUUCACGAAGAGUUCCUCAUAACAAGGUUAUGCAUAUAAAAACAUCAGCCCACAACUUAUUUCAGUAUAUAUGUGCUGAUUUAUACUAGUACUCAAUAUGCAUACGAUAAGAACAUAUAUAGCAACUGAUGCACAUGAACACACAAAGACAACUUAUAGAAAUGAUGAAAUCAUAUAUAGACCAAGAAGCUGCUUCCCGCAGUCUUACCCUGUGCUGUCCCUUGGUUCAAGGCAUUCCCUAGGGAAAGAAUUGUCUGCAUAACUCUUUUCAGUUUGACUGAAUUUCUGAUCUGAUGAGAAGCAUAAGCUAUUAGCUGGAUGAGGUGUAAUAUAUUAAUGAUUAGCAUGAGUGGUUUGAAGGGACAAAAAUCUAAUCAGAGUUUACAACAUUUAGGCUUUUCCUAAGGUCAGAAACCAACAUGGCCAACACAAUACCUUAAGUAUUGUGUAAAACCCAAAUCAUAUGACUGUUAGGUGAUAUAUUUGAUAUUCACCUGGGAAGAGAACCGUAUCUUGAAGGAAAAAACUCAGAGCUUAAUUAGAUUCCACUCGAGGUACUUUCAUUAACUCUUAACAGGAACUGCCAUCAACAUUCUGUGAAAGUCUGGGAGUAUACAUCAAACCUCAUAUGACAUACUCUCGGAUUACUAUCGCUAUAAACAAGACCAGUUCACAUAAUGAAAUAUAAACUAAACCAGAACCAUAUAGCAGGCUAUGAUUAUUGCAUCAAUUUUCCUCUAAUUGAAGAUGUGCAAGGUUCUAUCUACAAUGAUAAUCACCAGCUAAAUCUUCACUGUCUGUUGCCCAUCUAAAACUAUUGAAAUGUAGCUACCAAUGGAAAUGGAUCAACUGAGAGCUUGUUUUCUCAGCAAAUUUCAUGAUGCUUUAUCAUUCACAUCUGAAUAGGCAGCUUGUUAUUGCAGCCAUCUUAGUAAUUUACAUCUACGAAUCUAGAACAACGAGUUUACAUCACAACUGAUAUCAAAUACUCUCGGGUUAGAUGCUCUAUAAACUAACAAUUCAGAUAACUGACAGGUGCACACAUGCUUAGACUAAACCAGAGACAUACACAACGCUAUGCAAUCAUCUGUUCAUGACUCAAUUCAUUCGGAGUCGGCUGUUAAUCUAAUCUAAAAAACAUGAACACAACUCUUACCUCCGAAGGGAACGCGGUCUGAUUUCCACCUUCAACAUCCCAUUCAUCAAUUCAUCGAUUUCAAACUUGGGAUCAAAAAACGCCUUCAAUUUCGAAAUCGUGCACAACGCUCUGCUCUGGGUUGAAGCCUCUUUCGAUUUUGAACUUGUGCACGACGCUUUGCUUGCCGCUAGUUCGCCUUCUCGAUAGCGGAGACGUGGUUGCUCUUUCCUUUUCCUACUUCGCCUUCUCUGGCUGAUCUCCAUGCAGCGUGUAUUAAUCCCUCCUUUUUCACCGCGUCGGCAUGUUAUAGACUCACCAGACGCCGUCGACAUCCACGGGAAUGGCCGUCAUCCGAGAAAUUCCAUUGUUGUCCCUCCAAUAUUGUCUCUGCCAAUGAAAAGAGGCCACGCGUCUCGGGACCACAUUGGCGUGCCAGACUUCGGCGUAGUCCAGCGCUUUCCUCAUAUGUUUUUAUUUUGGUGAAAUUAUGGAUCAUAUUUUGGUGAAAUCAUAAUCAUAUGGUAUGUUGAUGGAUUGAUGCAAUUUGCACACAAUUUGAUGCAAAUUUGAAAUUGAUGCAAAUGGCCGGGUCAUAUGUAUUUGCAGGUGUCGAAACAUCUGAGAGGGGAGGGUGGAAUGUACAUAAAGGUGAUCAAAUGGAUGAAGCUGAACUCAGGCGAUAUCUUGCUCUUAUCGCGGAAAAAACUCAGGAAGAGCAGCGCUUGUGGUCAGAGUAUGUUGCGGAGAUGCACAGACAACGUCGCAGACCUCGGGAUCGUGCCGAUAUGCGCAG
rnacentral:lncRNA from 1 species